rnacentral:rRNA from 1 species
UACGAGAGGCCCAAACGUUAUUCGGAAUUACUGGGCUUAAAGAGUCCGUAGGCGGCGCGGAAAGUGGGGUGUGAAAUCCCUCGGCUUAACCGAGGAAUUGCGCUCCAAACUGCCGUGCUUGAGGAACCUAGAGGUGAGCAGAACUGAUGGUGGAGCGGUGAAAUGCGUUGAUAUCAUCAGGAAUACCGGAGGCGAAGGCGGCUCACUGGGGGUUUUCUGACGCUGAGGGACGAAAGCCAGGGGAGCAAACGGG